rnacentral:tRNA from 1 species
GAUUCCAUAGCUCAACUGGAUAGAGCAUUCGCCUACGAAGCGAAAGGUUUCAGGUUCGACUCCUGAUGGAAUCACAA